UCUGCAGUUCACAGUAUACUACACCACCUUUUGGCAUGUGGUCGUGUUUGUAGUUAUUUUUGGUUCCACGGGUGGAAUGAUUGUUGCCCUGUUUCCGCCCAUACUUAUAGAGAUCGUCGGAAAAGAGCGUUAUCGCAGCGCCAUCGCGGUGUUCAUCAUCUGUAUUUCUCUAUUUGAAGGAUUUGCACUUCCGCUGUUAGGUUAUUUUCGAGAUAUCACAAACACGUUUCACUUCACAUUCCACAUCAUGGGAGCUUCAUCCUUCUUAACAGCUGUACUUCUCAUAAUAUUUGACGUUCUAACACGGAAACGAGCAAAAAAGAAGAAAGAUGGUGAUGAAGAUAUCACUGUCAGUCCUUGAAAUAUUAUUAUGUCGACGCAGUGGUAAAUGCGUAAAACGCUGCUUCAAUUGUUCAUCUUAUUUGUCAUUAAGUAUUCAUCAAGGCCAAUUAUUAAAUGAUUGGUUUGAACCAAUCUGUUACAUUUAUAAUCGAUGAUUUGAGUUAUCGAUCGAUGACGAACAACAUCGACAUGUCUUUAAAGUUGGUCUAAGUGUGUAAAAUAUUCCUUAAACACUAAAGAGGCGGACAAAAUGACAAUUUGAUAAAUCAGACAUUAUUGAACAAUGGAGAAUUCAAUAUAGUUUUCAUUGUAAUUUCUUUUACGAAAACAUGUAUUUGAGAAUCAUGUUGUGCGUGACUUUGUGUCAUCACAACAGCAAAGGUCAUACUUUUUGUGAUGCCUACGUUUGUGAAAGCGUGGUGCUGUGAAUUAUCCAUAAACACUAGUGUCAUUCCGUGCCGAUGAUUAACAUCCUAUUGAUGACUAACAAUAUACACUGUACAUUUGGGUUAGGUUUGAACUAUAGCUAUGGUCAUUUAGAGACGGCCUCCCUGUGUGAUAGAUACAUACGUGUGGCGAGUGUGUGUCUUUGGGAGGCUGUGGUGUGUUAGUGUUUGUGUGUGGGAGGCUGUUGUGUGUUAGAGUUUGUCUCCAUAUCAUAUCGCAGAGCUGAUGCACAUAUGUGUUAACAAUGAUACACAAUAUGGACUAUUAACAUUGUCAAUUUUGAAAUAAAUGUUGAUAUUCG